rnacentral:tRNA from 1 species
GCCUGGGUGGCUCAGUCGGUUGAGUGUCUGACUUCGGCUCAGGUCAUGAUCUCACAGUUUGUGAGUUCGAGCCCCGCAUCAGGCU